GGCGCAAGCCUGAUGCAGCGACGCCGCGUGGGGGAUGACGGCCUUCGGGUUGUAAACCUCUUUCAGCACAGACGAAGCGCAAGUGACGGUAUGUGCAGAAGAAGCACCGGCCAACUACGUGCCAGCAGCCGCGGUAAUACGUAGGGUGCGAGCGUUGUCCGGAAUUACUGGGCGUAAAGAGCUCGUAGGUGGUUUGUCGCGUUGUUCGUGAAAACUCACAGCUUAACUGUGGGCGUGCGGGCGAUACGGGCAGACUGGAGUACUGCAGGGGAGACUGGAAUUCCUGGUGUAGCGGUGGAAUGCGCAGAUAUCAGGAGGAACACCGGUGGCGAAGGCGGGUCUCUGGGCAGUAACUGACGCUGAGGAGCGAAAGCGUGGGGAGCGAACAGGAUUAGAUACCCUGGUAGUCCACGCCGUAAACGGUGGGUACUAGGUGUGGGUUUCCUUCCUUGGGAUCCGUGCCGUAGCUAACGCAUUAAGUACCCCGCCUGG
rnacentral:rRNA from 1 species